UUUCUUUGUGUCGACACAAUUUCUUCAUUUUUAUUACUACAUUUAAAGUUAUUACAUUACUAGGAUUCUGUUUUUUUUUUUGUUUAUAAUAAGAUUUUUAUUAAUAAACUUCUCAUAAACGGGCUUGGGCUAAGGCCCAUUACACGUAUGAAAACCAGUUACAAAAUAGGUUAAUCGGAAAAACCGCCGGAAAAGUGGAAAUGUUCGAUCGGAAGCAGAGUGGCGGACUCAAGAGUCACAGCUUUGCGGACGUAUACGAAGGAUCGAGAAACGCAGCCGGAAGAUUUCGGUUUCCGUCUGCAAACUCUCUCUGCUACCGCACCAACCCACCACAACUCUCCCAGAAAACUAGCUACUCCGACUCACCGGUUCCACGGUAUCUGUUCCAUGCCUAGCAACCCAUACACUAGGGUUUAACCCCUUCUCUGUCCGUGACUUCUCCGAUAAGAUGGUGCUCACAGUCUGAACCCUUGCCCCUGCAUCAGCCAUCUAAGAUCCGACUGGAUCUACAGUUAACCAUCUCGUCUAACAAAUGAAACCUACCGAAUCACCAUCAACUUCCAUCGUAGCCGCAACCACCAGAUCGACGGGUGAGCAAGAGGAACUCCAGAGCAUUCCUCGGCGUCCUCAUCCGUGGAACCAAGGCUGCAGAACUCCUCCACCGUCAAACAGGAGCAACGACCACAUCGAUGGGGAUUAUUCUCUUCACCGCUGACGGCAAAGAAUAGCGAGCUCUCUCUUGGACUACUGUAAAAAAACUUCGACAUGCGAUGAAAAUCUGCUACCCGAGAAAACUAGAUCGAGAUAUGGAAAAUCUUCUACAGGAGAGAGAGAAAUUUCCUCUCUCGAGGCAACGAUUGUGCCUUUUUCUGUUUUUUCUCCUUCU
rnacentral:lncRNA from 1 species